GCGAGGCUGCGGUUUCCGCGAUCUGCUGUUUUCGAUUUGGCUGCCUCCUCGAGCGGUGCAGCCGAAUGAUAUUUCUUAAACAGCUGAAGAGACAGAGGAGGAAUCGGAGUUUUGUCGGGGCUGUAAUACCACAGGGGGAGCUUCAGGGCAUCAUGGCGUGCUGUAACCCCACUCCACCACUAGUGCACCAGCAGAUCAAUGCGCUUCAUCAGCUUCUCCUUUACUCAAGAAACCGCUGGAAAUAACAGAGUAUUGAGCAGCAGCAGAAGGAGGUGCAGGAGAAGCGGAAAGCUAAAGAACGAGCCAAGAAAGCUCAAGAGGACGAAAGAAAGCCAAACUGAGCUACCAGGAGUCACUGCAAAAUGUUCACACUGUUCGGCAGCAAGUAAUGGAAGCAAAGCAAGCUGGACAGAAAAGAGCGAGAGCUGUCAGUGAUGCUGGGGAAGAGAGUCUUAAACCAAACAUUAAUGUCUCAAAGACUGAAAGCGAGACAUUGGUGGCAGAUCAGUCAGCUAAACCUGCUCAGAAAAAAACUGAAAAAGAAGAAUGUUCAAGAGCCUGGAGUUCCCGAACAAAACUUCAAACCUUUUGACUACAGCCAGUCAAAUUUUAAAAUAUUCGCUGGUAAAUCAAAAGAGAGUUCACAGUUUGAUCCAAACAGAUAAGCACAUGGACCCAAGCAGAAGAAAAACCAAAAAGGACAGAAGAAAAGCGUUGUGGGUGGCAGGAGCAUGUCUUAUGUUCCUGCCAAAUCUGACCGGUAACACAUACACACACAGAACUAGACUGAAGAAAUUCAUCGUUGCAGGGUUAAGGAAAAAAGCAUUCAUAUGAUGGGUUUAUUUCUGUUUGCAGAGGCUUUCGCCCACAACUGGCCCAAGAGACAGAAGUCUUCACCCCCUUUUGAUAAUAAAUCUAUAAUGCUAUAUAAGCAGCACAUUGACUACUAUAAAAUAUAUCCAAGCUUCAUUUCUAUAGUAUUUCCCCCUUAAAAAAGAUAUACUAAAAUAGUUGCUGAAAUGUGAGGGUUGUACUCCCUUUUGUGAGAUACUGUGUGUGUGUGUGUGUGUGUGUG